AACGAACGCUGGCGGCAGGCUUAACACAUGCAAGUCGAACGUCCCGCAAGGGGAGUGGCAGACGGGUGAGUAACGCGUGGGAAUCUACCCAGAUCUUCGGAACAACUGAGGGAAACUUCAGCUAAUACCGGAUACGCCCUACGGGGGAAAGAUUUAUCGGUUCUGGAUGAGCCCGCGUUGGAUUAGCUAGUUGGUGAGGUAAUGGCUCACCAAGGCGACGAUCCAUAGCUGGUCUGAGAGGAUGAUCAGCCACACUGGGACUGAGACACGGCCCAGACUCCUACGGGAGGCAGCAGUGGGGAAUAUUGGACAAUGGGCGAAAGCCUGAUCCAGCCAUGCCGCGUGAGUGAUGAAGGCCUUAGGGUUGUAAAGCUCUUUUGCCGGGGACGAUAAUGACGGUACCCGGAGAAUAAGUCCC
rnacentral:rRNA from 1 species